AUGGAUUAUACGAAUCAUAACAUCAUUGUGUGGAAUAUCCAUGGGCUGAACAGUGCGGCUAGAGGGGCGACCCUGAGAAGCGUCGUUGAUGGUGCGGCGGCCUCGGUGGUUUGCAUCCUAAAGUCCAAGCUUGCGGUGGUGGACCAACGCGUGGUUACCUCUCUGUUGGGUUUGAAGUUUGAUGCGUACGUGGCCCUACCUGCGCAGGGCCCGGCAGGUGGGAUUAUU
rnacentral:rRNA from 1 species